rnacentral:tRNA from 1 species
GGCCCUCUAGCUCAGAUUGGUUAGAGCGAUUGACUCAUAAUCGAGAGGUCGGGGGUUCGAAUCCCCCGAGGGCCACCA